GUAAGGAAGAAAAAAAAAGGCCGUUCCAUUAGUCACGAGACUCAAAUGCAAAGCCAAAGUCAAAGACUGUGUCUUUUAUUUGCAACAGACUCAUAGGUUGGAUCUGUUCGGCAUGGUUGAUGAUUCUCCAUAUCUAUUUGCUCCUUUUGUGAACUUGAAAGGUAAGUUCUCUAAUACUCCUAUCAUUUUCCUACCGCUUUCGUGGCAUUUAACUCGGUUUGAACUUGGAUGAAAAUAUGAUCAAACUUAGUAACAAAAAUUUAAUGAUGCGUGUGGUUAGAUUUGUACGGAGAGAUUUUUGAAAGAAAUUACUAUUUGCGAAUCAAUAAAUUACAAGUAAAAUUGGUACAAUAAUUGGAAAAAUAAUACAAAAAGUCGAGCAACUAAUUAUAUGAAUAGAAAUAAAAAUAUUAGUAUAUAUUCUUCUUCGUUUUAAGAGAUUUUUUUCAUGGAUUUGGUCCCUUGUUGGCUUUUACCUUUCCUUUUAUCCAAACAAUAAACUUUAAUUCAUCGAGACACAAAAACAAAACAAUACAAAAACUGACGAUAAAUCAAUUAGUAACCUACUAACCUCACAUGGAUUGGCCCAAAAGACAAACUCACAUAAGCUGUCAUUAUCUCUCUCUACUAUUAUUUUCUUUUCACCUUUUCAAAAACUAAAAUAUGAACAUAAACUCUUUAAAAAAAUUUGGUUUGCCAACCAACACGUUAGAUCUCUAUAUAAUUAUAUAUAUGCGUUAUGAGAAUGAAAUCAGAACAACUUGGAUACAAUUACAUUAUAUGAAAUGAAGCAUUAUAUAGAAGCCUAAAACAUUUAGUAGAGUUACCACCUUAAAAGGUUAACUAUAUUUGAACACACCUAGACAAGUCUAAUGAUAAACUUAAACCCUACAUUAGCUAAAACAUCAACAUCUUAUCAAAACAUAUUUAAUAAUACUUAUUGAAUUUUGGAUGCCACGUUUCUUUCAUCUGAGUAGAGUGAUUCGUCAAUUAUAGUAAACAAUAGGAACAAUAAAAAAUUUUGUGUACUAGAGUUUAAAAAAAAGUGUAUUAGAGUAUACAAAAGAAACACAAAAUAAAUAACAAACAAACGGUUUGUUGAUUUGUUGAGGAAGAACAAACUCUUAAGCUAAGCUUCAAUACAUCUCGAUCAAAAUCAUAAAUUACAAAUCAUCAUAAGAAUACAAAAUGUUUAUAGAAAUAGUAUUUUAAUGUAUUGAAAAUGAAAGAUACAAUCUUAUUUAUUUUAGUUUUUCACCCUACUUUUCCCCUUGUGUUAUAUAUAUUCCCCUUUUUUCAUACUCAUAGUUUAUCCCCAAUCAGUGUAAACCAUUUACAAUUAAUUUGAUUCUCCCCUACCCUCAAACCGGUUCAAAACAUAGCAGAAAUUCCAAAAGAAUCAAGAAGCAUAAUCCGAAAAAUAU